rnacentral:rRNA from 1 species
UACGAAGGGGGCUAGCGUUGUUCGGAUUAACUGGGCGUAAAGCGCGCGUAGGCGGGUUUUUAAGUCAGGGGGGAAAUCCCAAGGCCCAACCUUGGAACUGCCUUUGAUACUGGAAAUCUUGAGUCCGGGAGAGGUGAGUGGAACUGCGAGUGUAGAGGUGAAAUUCGUAGAUAUUCGCAAGAACACCAGUGGCGAAGGCGGCUCACUGGCCCGGUACUGACGCUGAGGUGCGAAAGCGUGGGGAGCAAACAGG